rnacentral:tRNA from 1 species
GUCCUUGUCGAUUAGUGGUUAGAUCAUCACGUUGUGGCAACUCCACAGAACCGUGAAGACGGAGGCUCGAAUCCUCCCUGGGACA